rnacentral:rRNA from 1 species
AUGCCGACAUCGCCGCCGUCGCUCCUGGACCUCCUGAGCCCCUCCCCUCCUGCUCCUGAGGCGGCGGCGUCGUCUGGACACGGCGGCGCCACGGUGGUGCAGGUGGUGCCGAUGGACGUGUCCGAGGAGCUGCUGGGCAAGUUCAUGGACGCCAGCGAGUUCGGCUUCGACUACGACACGAGCGGCCUCUGGUCCCCGCUCGUGCUGCUGCGGCCGGAGGUCCUCGCGCUCGCCUCGGCCCGCGCCAAGCGCCCACGCCCUCGCCGGGGCUGGAGAAGGAAGAUGUUUUGCUGCUGGUGA